rnacentral:lncRNA from 10 species
CACUUCUCCUUGAUAUGAAGAAUUCAGAAGAACAUUAAUCAAAAAUACAAAUGGGAAGAAAUAUAAAAAACACUCUGGGAAGCCAAGGCAGGCAGAUAACUUCAGCCCAGGAACUCAAGACCAGCCUGGGUAACGUGGCGAAACCCUGUCUCUGCCAAAAAAAAAAAAAAAAAAAAAAGGAGGAAAGAAAAAUUAUCCAGGUGUGGUGGCAUGCAUGUAGUUGCAGCUACUCAGGAGGCUAAGAUGGGAGGAUCGUUUGAUCCCAGGAGGCAGAGGUUGCAAUGAGUGGAGUGCAAUGGCACGAUCUCAGCUCACUGCAA